UGUCAUCUAGAUGCUAGACUCACCAGAUCACAAUCUCGAGUUUAUCCCCUACUGAGGAGUUGCCCAAAGUAUAGAAAAGAAAGGCUGAUUCUAAAGCACUCACCUGAAAACAGAUUGGAUUGCAUUAAAUAUAAGGGGACUUCUACAGGGAUUUUGGGGGAUUAAAGAGUAGGUGCAGUGUUUUGAUUCUUCAAACAUACUGGACUUAUUAGGAGAAUGUAGUAUCGGAAAGCCAAACUGAUCCACACUCAAGUCCAGAAGGUGUUGGCACUGCACCAACAAGCUGUUUGCCAACCGCUAUAAAAAAGAAGAAGAAGCCUUCUCUCCCCUACCAUGAGUUCUGCCUCAGCACUCCUGGUUUCUACUUGCCUCUCUCCUUGGCUCUUUUUCAUUUCCCUGCUACAGCACUACCAUGUGGGUUUUCUUGCCCACUUACCUGUGGUUACCUAUGGCUCAGAGACUCGGACUGUGUUGCCACCUUUUUCACUGUAUGUGCUUCUUGGGAGCGCUUUCCUGAUGGCUCUGCUUUGCCCCAACUUAUCUGCCUGCUCCCUGUUGGAUCAUUGGCUUCUACCAAGUGCUUUCCUGGUUCUGGACCUGCUUUUUCCUCAACCACGUGUCCUGCUUGCUUCUUCAAGGUGUGUCAACCGCAGAGCUCAGAGAAGGUGAGCUGAAUGAGGACAGGUUCAUGUUAAAUUGCAACAGGCAGACAAGAUCCAUUGCCAUGGAACGUUGACUGCUGUGGAAACACUGGGACUAUUUUUUAAAAAACUGUACACAUAAAUGAUUGUAAAACAAUAAAAAUGAUCUUUUAAUAAAGUUUUUUUGCCAA